AUUACAUGUCACAUAUUCAUAUUUUUCAGUUUCCAUAUUAGAUGCCAUAGCAAAUCAAAGAUCAUAUAAUAAAAUAAGUCAAAAAACCCAAAUAUGGAAAAAGAAAGAGCUGAAGAAAUGGUGAUUUGAGCACCUAUGCUUUCUCAUAGGUGUUUUUGGAGGUUUCCAUAUUAGAUGCCAUAGCAAAUCAAAGAUCAUAUAAUAAAAUAAGUCAAAAAACCCAAAUAUGGGAAAAGAAAGAGCUGAAGAAAUGGUGAUUUGAGCACCUAUGAUUUCUCAUAGGUGUUUUUGGGGGUUAACUACAUCAGAAAGAUCAAGACAGUUGGAAAUGGCUAUUCAUAUUAUGGAAACUUUUUCUCACAGAGCUUGAUAAUCAGGUAAAAUGCUGGAAGAUUAUUUGAUGUAUGAUAACAACAAGAGAUCCCAAGCAUCAAUUUAUUUUAUAAUUCUGGAAAAGAAUGCAUUUGACCCAAUUUUUGAAUAUUUUUUUUUUGUUUUUACUGUUAAAUAUUCAUCCCAAACACAAUUAGAUUUUAAUUCUCUACAGAAAUUUAUGUAUAAUAUAGAAUGUAAAGUGACAUAUAAAUCACUUAGAAUUUGGUCGGAAAUCAUAAAGUAUUUAAUAGGCAUAGUCUAGAAACCAAAUGUAGAUCAAAUAUACCCAGAAUUACAAAAAACCUUGACCUACAUUAAGGUGACUUUCCCUUGCUUAUGAAAUGAAAUAGGGUUUAAUAUCCUACUUUUCUGUGUUAUUAUGGUAAUUCUGCCCUACAACCUACUCUUAUAUCAAAUAUUUCAACUGUCAAGGGUUGUUUAAAGGGAACCCAGGAGGGCCGAAUGGUUAACACACGCACAUUGGAUCAGAAGGGUCUGUCAUUGAGUCAGAUAAUUCAAUUGUCAAGGGUUCUUUAAAGUAAACGCAGUGGGGGUAGUUUCAAUUCUGGGCUUAUACCCAAUUAUCCCUUGCCAUGUCCUACACUACUGACGUGUGGGAACUAUGUCGGAAAAUCCAGUUGAAAUUUCUCGGCCAAUGCACUCACUGAACCACAGUGGCUCCUCCUUGCUUUUGACUUGUGAUUAUUUAUAUAUACUUUGUACAUAUUAUUUAAUGUUUGCGAUUUUCUCUGAUAUUUUUUUAUUUUUCAAUCCUGUAAUCUUGAUGCUUUGCUCCUUUUAUGUACAAAAUAUUCAUUUUGUUUGAGGAAAAGGUUCUACAUCAUUUUAUUACUCCUGCAAAAUAGUGCAUUUUUCUUUUGUUAGUUUUCUGUGUAUGCUAGUUAUUUCUAGAUGCCUCACGAAUCACUUGUAAUAUGACUUUGUAGCACUUUUCAGUUUCUGAAAGUAUUUCAAUUUAGUGCAUAAUUAAUCUAAUUAGGGCUUGGUUUGGAUGUUAUUAAAUUUAGAUAUAUUUGAAUUAUAUAUUUUUGGGGUAUGGGGUAGGGAUCUUUCUUUUCUCAGUUCUUGUUUUCGGGUAAAGAAAAAAUUAAAUAGCUAUUUUGUAUUUUGUGAUGUGGGGGGGAGGGGGGCAAAGUAUAACAAAAAUUUUAUUAGUAUUAGAAUUAUAUCUCUGUUUUUCUGUUAACAUUUCAAAUGAUGUCUAUUUAGUUUUG